UGGGGAAUAUUGCACAAUGGAGGGAACUCUGAUGCAGCGACGCCGCGUGAACGAAGAAGGCUUUCGAGUCGUAAAGUUCUUUUAUAUGGGAAGAUAAUGACGGUACCAUAAGAAAAAGCCCCGGCUAACUACGUGCCAGCAGCCGCGGUAAUACGUAGGGGGCUAGCGUUGUCCGGAAUCACUGGGCGUAAAGGGUUCGCAGGCGGAAAUGCAAGUCAGGUGUAAAAGGCAGUAGCUUAACUACUGUAAGCAUUUGAAACUGCAUAUCUUGAGAAGAGUAGAGGUAAGUGGAAAUUUUAGUGUAGCGGUGAACUGCGUAGAUAUUAAAAAGAAUACCGGUGGCGAAGGCGACUUACUGGGCACAUUCUGACGCUGAGGAACGAAAGCGUGGGUAGCAAACAGG
rnacentral:rRNA from 1 species